rnacentral:rRNA from 1 species
CCUACGGGAGGCUGCAGUGGGGAAUAUUGCACAAUGGGGGAAACCCUGAUGCAGCGACGCCGCGUGAGCGAUGAAGUAUUUCGGUAUGUAAAGCUCUAUCAGCAGGGAAGAAAAUGACGGUACCUGUCUAAGAAGCCCCGGACAACUCCGUGCCAGCAGCCGCGGGAAUACGUAGGGGGCAAGCGUUAUCCGGAUUUAAGGGGUGGAAAGGGGGCGUAGACGGUCCUGCAAGUCUGAUGUGAAAGCCUGGGGCUCAACCCCGGGACUGCAUUUGGAACUGGAAGGCUGGAGUGUCGGAGAGGCAGGCGGAAUUCCUAGUGUAGCGGUGAAAUGCGUAGAUAUUAGGAGGAACACCAGUGGCGAAGGCGGCCUGCUGGACGAAGACUGACGUUGAGGCUCGAAAGCGUGGGGAGCAAACAGGAUUAGAUACCCUUGUAGUC